AUGACUGGCAUAAUGCUGAAUUAUUCAGCCAAUCAACUUAAGAAAUUCAACAACUAUACCACUCCAUCAUGUACAUCAGUCAUUAAACAACUUGGACUCCUUCGCCGACCACUUUAUGUUCACAGAAGCUGCCGACGAAAGUUUGUUUUCUCCCGGUCUGAUCAUAACAUCUCAUCCAUCUGGUCUGGCGUGCACACUGUCACAUCUCGAACAUGUUAUCAGAGCGCCGUCACUCCCAGGACUAGUAGCGCUGAAGUUCCCAUGACAACGCUACGCACUGACUUGGAUGGAAACCGGAGAAAACGUGGAUGGGAUCUCAGUCUACUUCGGCCAAUACAGAGACACACUGCUGCAACGAAUAUCAAGAUUGAACUUUUUAAUGCACAAUCCAUCACAAAUAAAUCUUGUCUCAUACAUGAUCAUAUUCUAGAAAAGUGUUUAGAUAUGAUGUGCCUUACAGAAACCUGGCAUCAACCAGAUGUUUUUUCUGUUUUAAAUGAGACCUGUCCCCCUGGUUACUGCUAUUUACAGAAAGCCCGCAGUACAGGGCGUGGUGGUGGUCUGGCUGUCAUCCACCGAAGUGAUCUGAUCUUGUCCCCUAUAACCCUGCCUGAGCUGUCUUCGUUUGAAUGCCUUGCAUUUAAAUGUAAGCACCCUCUUUCCACUAUGAUAUUUCUCAUUUAUCGGCCACCCAAACCAAAUCCAUCAUUCAUCCCAGAGAUGUCCAAUCUUCUUUCAACAUUCUGUACAAUGUCUGCUAAUAUCAUUAUACUUGGAGAUAUGAAUAUUCAUGUCAACUCUUCAACCUGUCGUUUUGCAGCAGAAUUUCUCCAAUUACUCGACUGUUUUAAUCUGACACAACUUGUCGAUUCCCCAACUCAUACCAGGGGCCAUACUCUUGACCUAGUUAUUACAAACUCUGUUUAUCUCAGCAAUCUUCUGGUGUAUGAUCUGGGAGUUUCUGAUCAUAAGGCCAUCUCCAUGAAGAUGUCUUCACUGUCCAGCUUCAUCAAGCCCAAACGCCAAAUCUGCUUCAGAAAUCUGAAAAACAUCAACCAAGAAACUAUGGCAUCUGAUCUCCAGCAUCUCCUUUCUGUAAACUGUCUACCACCCAUGGACUCAGUGGACUAUUAUAAUAACACCCUCAGAAGCAUUCUGGAUCUUCAUGCCCCGGUCAAAACCAGAACAGUCACUUUCACCCGAUCAGCACCCUGGUAUACCGGUGAUCUACGGAAAAUGAAGGCA
ensembl:lncRNA